UAAGCCAGCAGCUUGUCCUUGUGCUGCUGUUUUGUUAAAUAAAAUAAAGCAAGACAGCAGCACAAGGGCAAGCGACUGGUUCA